AUACGGAGGGUCCAAGCGUUAUCCGGAUUCAUUGGGUUUAAAGGGUCCGCAGGCGGGGAAAUAAGUCAGUGGUGAAAGCCUACAGCUCAACUGUAGAACUGCCAUUGAUACUGUUUUUCUUGAGUAUAGAUGAAGUGGGCGGAAUAUAUCAUGUAGCGGUGAAAUGCAUAGAUAUGAUAUAGAACACCGAUUGCGAAGGCAGCUCACUAAACUAUUACUGACGCUCAGGGACGAAAGCGUGGGGAGCGAACAGGAUUAGAAACCCCAGUAGUCC
rnacentral:rRNA from 1 species